rnacentral:rRNA from 1 species
GACGUAGGGCGCGAGCGUUGUCCGGAUUUAUUGGGCGUAAAGAGCUCGUAGGCGGCCAGUUGCGUCUGCUGUGAAAUCCCGGGGCUCAACCCCGGGCGUGCAGUGGAUACGGGCUGGCUAGAGGCAGGCAGGGGAGAACGGAAUUCCCGGUGUAGUGGUGGAAUGCGUAGAGAUCGGGAGGAACACCCGUGGCGAAGGCGAUGGCCUGGACCUCGAGCUGACGCUGAGGCGCGAAAGCGUGGGGAGCGAUCCGG